GGACUAUUUCUACAACCAGGAGUCAAUAUGUUCAUAACAGAGCUUCCAUCAAGCUGUCAUGGAGAUUCAAACUCGGGGUGCCCACCCACACCCCCAAGUCCAACCUGGACACCCUAGCACCUCUCCUGAAAACAGCAUCAUUGACCGUGGCCCAGUGACCCCAGAGGGUCAUUGCUGCCAUGGAAGAGGCUUUAAGGACUAUUUCUACAACCAGGAGUCGAUAUGUUCAUAACAGAGCUCCCAUCAAGCUGUCAUAAAAACCAAGAAGAUAAUUCAUUGUUUUACUUGCUAUACCCUUCCAGAGUCUGUGGGUAGCCCUGGGAGUGCAACCUUUUCUGGAGUGAAUGACCCUGGACGGCAUGCUGCCGGUGUCUCCCCCAUGACCACUUUCCCAGACCUCCAUGCGGAAACCCACUGUGCAUUUUAAGCAGGGGGACAGUCAGGUUCAAACAAUGCUUAAUUUUUGGAAAUAAAAGUACACUGUGAUCUUCAUUCAUUUGUUGGGCUCACUUUCAUCCUCUAUCUCCAAGGCAGAAUCACAGCAGGUGUUGACUUAUGGCACCCCUAGAAAUCACCACCUGUGGUCCUUAUUUAAGUUGAACUUUUGAGCUUAAUUGUGAUGACUUUCUAUGACUUUCUAUAGGGUUUGGGGUCCGAAAGAGUGGACAUGACUUAGCAACUAAACAACAACAACAACAUCCCAGAACAAUGUAAAUCCAGGAACUGGAAAGAAACAGUUGACAAAACAAAGAAAACAAGCAAACCCUUCAAAGGAAGAACUCAACCUUUCUCACAUAAGAACACUUAAGUGAGAGUCAAAUAAGUGACACAGAAAGCCUCUUUAGCCGCAGAGCCAGCAGUUGAGUGGAAGUGGGAAGCAGCUAAUGAUGGGUGUCAACAGAGGAAACUGAACUGGAAUUCAGGAGUGCCUGGGACCCGGCGUGUCUCUAGACUGGUGUGGCCGUGAGCAAGUCUGUCACUGUCUCUGGGCUUCAGUCAGGCAUCUCUGCAGCUCACAGAAGCGGACGCGAUGGGAGGUUUUCAGCUUUGCCCCUGUCCACGGCGGUCCCAGGUGACUGCUGCCGCAGGACCGCGAAUCAGGUGACUCAGACCCCACUC